GACGAACGCUGGCGGCGUGCCUGACCCAUGCAAGUCGGACGAAGGUUUAGCAAUAGACCUGAGUGGCGGACGGGUGAGUAACACGUGAACAACCUGCCUCAGACAGGGGGAUAACGUCUGGAAACGGACGCUAAUACCGCGUAAGACCACAGUGGGACAUCCCACAGAGGUAAAAGGAGCAAUCCGGUUUGAGAGGGGUUCGCGUCCCAUUAGGUAGUUGGUGAGGUAACGGCUCACCAAGCCCGCGAUGGGUAGCCGAGCUGAGAGGCUGAACGGCCACACUGGAACUGAGAUACGGUCCAGACGCCUACGGGAGGCAGCAGGGAGGAAUAUUGGGCAAUGGGGGAAACCCUGACCCAGCAACGCCGCGUGAAGGAUGGAGGCCUUCGGGUUGUAAACUUCUGUGACAGGGGACGAAAGAAAUGACGGUACCCUGAGAGGAAGCCACGGCAAACUACGUGCCAGCCGCCGCGGUAA
rnacentral:rRNA from 1 species